rnacentral:misc_RNA from 1 species
GAUGAAGAACGUAGCGAAAUGCGAUAAGUAAUGUGAAUUGCAGAAUUCAGUGAAUCAUCGAAUCUUUGAACGCACAUUGCGCCCGCCAGUAUUCUGGCGGGCAUGCCUGUCCGAGCGUCAUUUCAACCCUCGGGACCCUUCGGGGAACCGGUGUUGGGGACCCGUCCGCCGACCCACGGCGGUCGGCCCCGAAAUACAGUGGCGGCCCUGCGGCGACCUCCUCUGCGUAGUAGCGAUACCUCGCAGCUGGAAAGCGGCAGCGGCCACGCCGUAAAACCCCCACUUCUAUGGUUGACCUCGGAUCAGGUAGGAGUACCCGCUGAACUUAAGCAUAUCAAUAAGCGGAGGA